UGCGUUCUUACCACUGGCCUGUA
rnacentral:miRNA from 1 species